rnacentral:miRNA from 14 species
GAGGAACUAGCCUUCUCUCUGCUUA